rnacentral:misc_RNA from 1 species
GGCUUGUUGUAGAGCUUGGCCAAUAGUUGAAUGCAAUUUUGCCAUCAUUCUUAAGAAAAAUUCUAAUACAGAUAAAGAUCUUAAAAAAUGUAGAACCAUAAAUUUCUAAAUAAGAUCAGACAUAGAAGUUAUGUGAUACUCUUAAAUAUUCCAUCUAUCCUUGUAAAGUUCUCAUCUUUCAUUUUGCACAAAUUUAAGAAAACAUAAUUAAUAUCAUGACAACCCACAUUUUUCAUUGCAUUCUUCCUUUUACACCCCUCAUCAUUUUUGAUGCCAUAAUAAAUACAAAUUUCGUGAAAUGCAAAGUGAA